rnacentral:rRNA from 1 species
ACCGAGUUUACAACUCCCAAACCCAUGUGAACAUACCUAUUGUUGCUUCGGCGGGAUUGCCCCGGGCGCCUCGUGUGCCCCGGAUCAGGCGCCCGCCUAGGAAACUUAACUCUUGUUUUAUUUUGGAAUCUUCUGAGUAGUUUUUACAAAUAAAUAAAAACUUUCAACAACGGAUCUCUUGGUUCUGGCAUCGAUGAAGAACGCAGCGAAAUGCGAUAAGUAAUGUGAAUUGCAGAAUUCAGUGAAUCAUCGAAUCUUUGAACGCACAUUGCGCCCGCCAGUAUUCUGGCGGGCAUGCCUGUCUGAGCGUCAUUUCAACCCUCAUGCCCCUAGGGCGUGGUGUUGGGGAUCGGCCAAAGCCCGCGAGGGACGGCCGGCCCCUAAAUCUAGUGGCGGACCCGUCGUGGCCUCCUCUGCGAAGUAGUGAUAUUCCGCAUCGGAGAGCGACGAGCCCCUGCCGUUAAACCCCCAACUUUCCAAGGUUGACCUCAGAUCAGGUAGGAAUACCCGC